GUGGAGCCAACCUUGAAAUACCACCCUGGUUUGUUUGCGGUUCUAACCUUGGGCCCUGAAUCGGGUUCGGGAACAGUGCAUGGUAGGCAGUUUGACUGGGGCGGUCUCCUCCUAAAGAGUAACGGAGGAGUACGAAGGUACACUCAGCAUGGUCGGAAAUCAUGCAAUGCGUAUAAAGGCAGAAGUGUGCUUGACUGCGAGCCCGACGGGGCGAGCAGGGACGAAAGUCGGUCUUAGUGAUCCGGUGGUUCUGUAUGG
rnacentral:rRNA from 1 species